rnacentral:rRNA from 1 species
GACGAACGCUGGCGGCGUGCUUAACACAUGCAAGUCGAGCGGGUGCAGCAAUGCAUCAGCGGCGGACGGGUGAGUAACGCGUGAACAAUCUGCCUCUAUCAGCGGGAUAACACAUAGAAAUAGGUGCUAAUACCGCAUAAGACCACGAUUUCGCAUGAAGAAGUGGUAAAAGCUCCGACGGAUAGAGAUGAGUUCGCGUCCCAUUAGCUAGUUGGUGAGGUAACGGCCCACCAAGGCGACGAUGGGUAGCCGACCUGAGAGGGUGAUCGGCCACAUUGGAACUGAGAAACGGUCCAA